AAAAAAGCAGAGGUUUGUACUUUUCUCCUCUGAGCAGGCCUUUCGUAAACUUCAGGGAAAUUAUUUGCACCAUUAUUGGGUGAACCUUUGUAAACUAUACUUGUGAAUAAAGGUUCAAUAAAUGUGGCGACAUUA
rfam:Amborella trichopoda AMTR_V1.0_contig_16113, whole genome shotgun sequence.